rnacentral:rRNA from 1 species
CACUCCUGCGGGAGGCAGCAGUGGGGAAUAUUGGACAAUGGGCGCAAGCCUGAUCCAGCCAUGCCGCGUGAGUGAUGAAGGCCCUAGGGUUGUAAAGCUCUUUCACCGGUGAAGAUAAUGACGGUAACCGGAGAAGAAGCCCCGGCUAACUUCGUGCCAGCAGCCGCGGUAAUACGAAGGGGGCUAGCGUUGUUCGGAUUUACUGGGCGUAAAGCGCACGUAGGCGGACUAUUAAGUCAGGGGUGAAAUCCCGGGGCUCAACCCCGGAACUGCCUUUGAUACUGGUAGUCUGGAGUUCGAGAGAGGUGAGUGGAAUUCCGAGUGUAGAGGUGAAAUUCGUAGAUAUUCGGAGGAACACCAGUGGCGAAGGCGGCUCACUGGCUCGAUACUGACGCUGAGGUGCGAAAGCGUGGGGAGCAAACAGGAUUAGAAACCCUGGUAGUCCCAUG